rnacentral:misc_RNA from 1 species
GAUGAAGAACGUAGCGAAAUGCGAUAAGUAAUGUGAAUUGCAGAAUUCAGUGAAUCAUCGAAUAUUUGAACGCACAUUGCGCCCGCCAGUAUUCUGGCGGGCAUGCCUGUCCGAGCGUCAUUUCAACCCUCAAGCCCCCGGGCUUGGUGUUGGAGAUCGGCGAGCCCCCCGGGGCGCGCCGUCUCCCAAAUAUAGUGGCGGUCCCGCUGUAGCUUCCUCUGCGUAGUAGCACACCUUGCACUGGGAAACAGCGUGGCCACGCCGUAAAACCCCCCACUUCUGAAAGGUUGACCUCGGAUCAGGUAGGAAUACCCGCUGAACUUAAGCAUAUCAAUAAGCGGAGGA